GCUGGUGGCGGAAUUGGUAGACGCGCUAGACUCAAAAUCUGGUGAGAAAUAUCUCGUGCGGGUUCAAGUCCCGCCACCGGCA
rnacentral:tRNA from 1 species